UACGGGGGAGCAAACGUUGUUCGGAAUCACUGGGCGUAAAGGGCGUGUAGGCGGCUGGAUAAGUGGGAUGUUAAAUCCCCGGCUCAACCGGGGACCUGCAUCUCAUACUGUUCAGCUCGAGCACAUCAGAGGAGACUGGAAUUCCGGUGUAGCGGUGAAAUGCGUAGAUAUCGGGAGGAACACCAGUGGCGAAGGCGAGUCUCUGGGAUGAUGCUGACGCUGAGGCGCGAAAGCCAGGGGAGCAAGCGGG
rnacentral:rRNA from 1 species